GACAGAGGGUGCAAACGUUGUUCGGAUUUACUGGGCGUAAAGCGCGUGUAGGCGGCUUUGCAAGUCGGAUGUGAAAUCCCACGGCUCAACCGUGGAAGUGCAUCCGAAACUGCAUCGCUUGAGUCUCGGAGAGGAAGGUGGAAUGCUUGGUGUAGAGGUGAAAUUCGUAGAUAUCAAGCAGAACACCUGCGGCGAAAGCGGCCUUCUGGACGAUGACUGACGCUGAGACGCGAAAGCGUGGGGAGCAAACAGG
rnacentral:rRNA from 1 species